rnacentral:rRNA from 1 species
UACGGAGGGGGCUAGCGUUGUUCGGAAUUACUGGGCGUAAAGCGUACGUAGGCGGCUUUGUAAGUUAGAGGUGAAAGCCCGGGGCUCAACUCCGGAACUGCCUUUAAGACUGCAUCGCUAGAACGUCGGAGAGGUGAGUGGAAUUCCGAGUGUAGAGGUGAAAUUCGUAGAUAUUCGGAAGAACAUCAGUGGCGAAGGCGACUCACUGGACGACUGUUGACGCUGAGGUACGAAAGCGUGGGGAGCAAACAGG